UUUGGGUCAGUUUCAGGUGGUUUUGGGUCCAUUUUCAGGUGUUUUGGGGCUGUUCCAGGUGUUUUUGGGUCCAUUUUGGGUGUUUUGGGGUCCGUUUCAGGUGGUUUUGGGUCUGUUUCCGGUGGUUUUGGGUCUGUUU